UUCUUCUUUUUCGGUUGUUUGCUCAAAUUCACCCCUUCUUUACUCCCCCUAUUUGUCUGUGCUCUUGUUCCUCUCAUUUUCUUUGUUUUUUUUUUGGGGGGACUUCUAUCAGUCUCCCCUCUUGGAGCUUUAACAGAAGAUCUCUUGGUGUAGUCUCUGGGGGAGGGUUGUUGGGGGUUUGAGCUUCCCUGUCCUCUGGAGGCUUUUGAUUGGCUUAAAGUCCAGCAGUCAAUGAGGAUGGGUGGGGAGCCUGGGCUUCCCUGCAUUCUGGAGACUUUUGAUGGGAUUAGAUUCAGCUGGUUCUUUCAGAAGACUCUGCUUUCUAAGGGGGGAGGGGUCCUGGCCUCCCUGGGCUCUGAGGGCUCCUGAUGGGAUUAGGUUCAGCUUGUUUGUACUGAAUGAGCCCUAAAGCCAAAAAACAUCCUCCUCCACAAUCUGUGUUGAGAGCCUGUAGACUGGCCCAGGUUGCUUUCAAGGUAAGCUCUUUGGAGCAACCCCUUUGCCGGCCCUAAGAUUUCUCUCCUUUCAGUAGCUCUGAGGGCUCCUGAUGGGAUUGGGUUCAGCUGGUGCCCUAAAGGUGGUACCUCCCUUGAGACUCAGUUGGAAGGACCCAACCAGGGGUCUGCAGGCUUCCCCCUUCUCUCUAUGUUUCCCUGCCGUCUGUGUUGGGCAUCCCGGAGAUUGGCUCAGGUUGCUUUCAAGGAAAUUGCAUUGUGAUAGACAAUGAGAAGGGAGUGGGGAGAGAAAAGAGAAUGAGAAACAUGCAAAGGGAAAACAGAUGUCUCAAAGUCACAUGCAACGGCCAAUAAUUUCCAGUGUUCUGAUAAACAUGGGGCAGUGUCGGGAGAAACAGAUUUUGUACGUGAACAGUAAACGUAAACAAUGAGUAACAAAUGGUUCCAAGUCCUUGCUGAAUUGUUUCCACACCUGCUUGGGUCUUAUUGCCAAAUCUUGGAUUCUUCACAUAACCUUGCCAGUGAGACGCUGGCUCUUCUGAAAAGAGAGGAGACAAAGCCUCCCUCCAUCACAUACCUAGGUCCCAACUGAAGCGAUGCUCAUUAAGGCCAGGGUCCCUGGGAAAAUGGUAAACUCUAUGAUCGACUGCCUCAUUUCCACAACUUCUCUCUCCAGAUAAUCAGAGCUCCGACUAGCCAGGUUCUGAAUGGAGCCUUCCUUACUCUUGCCUUUUCUCCAGCUCUGACUGUGCUGGACAGGGUCCUGUGCUCAGCCUUGGUAUUUAAACCCUUGGAAGCUCGACUUUCCUCAGAAUCCUAGAAUACAGAACUGCAAAGAAUCUUAUUUAUUGUUUAUUUCAACUCUUUCAUUUUCAGGGAAGCCCACUGAGACCCAGAAAGCUCAAAUAACUUGUCUGUGGUCCCUGGAAGAUCAGAAUCAGAACUCAAGCCCAGGCCAGUCUUUCCCUUUUCAUAAUACCUUUACAGACAGGUAGAACCUCAUUUUACAGGAUGUUCUAAGACUCUUUGCAUGAGUUGAAAAUUGCUUAUAAUAGUGAACGCCUUUAUUUAAUAAGUAUUUCUUAUAGCAACACACAUAGCUACUUUACAACUUGUCUUAGGCUUAUUAGAGCUACCCACAGCAAUACUCUUGUACCUGGGCCAUUACUAAUAACUAAGUGGCAUUAAUGAAACAAAGGUGAAGCACUGCUCUACUGGGAACAUGACUUGUUACAAGCAAAGAUUCUGGACAAAGAAUGAUGAGGAGCUAAUGUCUGGUGCAGAACAAUGUAAUGACUUGCACUAACACUUCUCACAACGAAAAUGGGCAUGAUUGGGGGAACUGCUGUGAGAUGACAGCUUGGGAAAAUGGCAUGAUGCUCAAUUAAAUAAUUUAUUUUAUGUCUUUUUCUGCCUUUUUAAAAAUUGCCCAUCAUGCCUGAAUUUGCAUGUCUUAAGUUAGCAUAGAACAAGGUUCCACUGUACUCUGUACAGAUCUCACUUGGUAUCUAGAUAUUUAUAUAUUGUCUUUUGCAUGUUUAGAAUGUCUGCCCCUUGAAAGUAGUGAUGGUUUUUUGUUUUUGUUUUUUAUCCCUAGCACUUAGCACAGUUCCUAUCACAUAGACAGUACUUGAUAGAUGCUUGUGGAUUGAUUGACUAACUGACAAAUUCCAAUGUUUUUUUCAUUGCAAUCGGUUGCCACUCAUGGUCCUGGUACUUAAAGGAUUAUAGGAGCUAAUCUAAUAAAUGGUAUGAUUCUAUAUGUGAAAAAAUAAGG
rnacentral:lncRNA from 1 species